UUUUUUUUUAAAGUCAAACACUAGGUUGAACAAGUUACGUGUAGAACUGAAAGAUUGACUAGGUGAUACCAAGUUAACUCUUUUCCAUUUUAAUUUUAAAUUAGGCCAUUGCAAGUGGCCUAAUCAACGGGUCACUAGGUUAUGCCAUCAAACCAAUCUAGAAUUAAAAAUACCAUCAAAAAGUUAUUGUGGUAAUGCGUUGGUAACUAACUAGUUUUAAACUAAGAAUGAUAUGACAAACCAAACAAAGUUAUUCUGUAUUUUUAAGAAGCUACUUUUUAUGAUUAAAAUUACAAAAUAUAUUAAAACAACUAGGUAAAUCACUAUAAUAAUUCACAAGACAACAAAGCUUUUUUUUAAUCUCAUCCUCAAAUUUUUUUUUUUAAUUGCAGUAGUUUUUGCCUAAAUUAACUACCAAUUUCUUAAAAUUUGUCAAGGAGAGAAAACAAAUCAACAAAAGAUAACCAAAAUAUAAAAUAAGGAGAAAACCCAUCUCCAAUCUCGAAUUCGCUAGAAAAAUUUCUAUAUAAUCCACCUGUUCUUCUUUUUCUUUAUAUAAUGUUCCUUUAGUUUAUGUAAUUUUAAUUUUGAUCCAAGGGUUUAUUUUGUUAAUAUUUCAGUCACUGAAUUUGUGAGAGAAAAGAGAAAGUUAUCAGUUUGUAACAAUGUAGUAACAAAAAAUGAUUAAUUUUAGUAUUAACGGGUUCUAUUUAACGAAAAGAGUUUAAUGGCAAUGAUUUUUAUUUCUAUAAACAUGUAUACAAUAGUAGAUUAAGUUCCAUUUAUAUUUUUUUUAUUUUGUUGAUUUUCAAUUUCUUUUCGUGUUAUUUUGGGAUGUUUUGGUGUUGGUAAAUAGUUUUUUUUUUUUUUUGAAGAUUUGUAUGGUAUUCUUGAAGAUAUUUUAAGAUAAGACUUUGAUUAUUGGGGUCAAAACGAGUCGGCAACCUAAAACUUUGAUUUACAUCCAAAAAUAGUUUUGGUCAAACAACAACGAAACAUGGAAGGGGUUGCUCUGCGUUGUGCAUGACAGCUAGAAGCCCAGAGUUCAAACAAACUAAUUAUCAGGGAAUAUUGAUGAAGUCCUCCUUCAUUAUCAGCAACCUAAAAAGGAGUGGCAGCGCUGGCUAGUUUUUCAACGGCCACCGAAAAACAAUCUAUUGAAAAAUUCUUUACCGAACAUUGGAUUUAUAUAGAAAGGUGCCUUUAAAAAAGUAGGUCACCAAGAAGCCCCUCCAUUGCCCAAUACACAGUAGUGGUUGCCUUCGAAAAGAAUUCUUCGCCUGAGAUAAGUUUUUCUUAUUUGGUCAAACGUAGUUUUCAGGCUCCGAUAUAGCAACCCAAUAAAGUAUACAGAAAAUACACUCACAUAGUAGCUUUCAGGCUUUGACUCCCUAAAAAGGUUUUUAUUAGCUAACCAAGAAACUUUAAAAGGGGUGAGGAAAUUACUUUUCCUCGCACGAUGGUUUUUUUUUUUUUUAAUGGCCAUCUAAGAUGUUUUCUCAUCGAUUCAGUACUUUAAUCGCUAAAUUGAUAGCAAAUUAGGUUUGAUUUAUUGAACAAGGACAGAAUUAAAAGAUGAAGGAUUAAAGUGUAAAAGGCUGAAAAAUCUGGUAGAGAGAAAAAGACUUAAUUGACAUUUAUUUAAACCACAAAAAACUUUGAUCUUGGUAUUAAUGAGUUUCAUUCAAUGAGAAGAGUUUUAGGUGUUUUUUAGCCUUCUCAUCAUCUGAAAUGGCAAUUUUGAUAUCAUAAAGUUUUUUAGUAUAGGGUUGAUUUUGAGUUUAUAGACCGCUUUUUAGGUUAUUGGUGGUCAUAUAAGGAUUUAUUGAGGUGUAUCAGGUGUUUUAUAUGUGUUUUUGAUCAAAAAUAGAUUGAGAGAAAUUAGUUUUAUAGGUCUAAAAAACACAAUUAUACUGAAAUUUGAGCUGAAGUAGGCGACGUGUCACCUACCUUUAUUUUUUAUCAAGAAACUCUAAGGUGAACAAUGUAUCAUCCACCCCAUUACCAAAUAAAAAAAAUUAAGGGCUAGCACGUGGGUUUGGUUUGCCAGAACCAACAGUGUCUGACCUUUUUUUUUUCUUUUUAAUUUUAAUUUUUUAAUUGAUAUUUUUUAUAUGUAUUCUCUAUGAUUUUUUAGAUUAUUUAUUUAGUAUUUUUUAAAUAGUAAUUGUUUAAAAAAAAUAUUUUGUACAUAUUUUACGUUUCAAAGAGAUAUUUCUAAUUUAUCCAUAAAUCUUUUUUAUAUUUUAUAUAAAUAAAUUUUAUUUUCAUGAUGUGUUUAUAAAAUUAAAAAUUAUUUUUUCUUAGAUAGGAAAAGGUAACCUUUAAGAUAAUAAUAAUAAAAAAAACUUGUGCAUUAUAGCUAAAAGUUGAGGUUAAAUAUUAUACUGAUCUUUCUUUUACUUUUAUAAAAAAAGAUAAUCUUUUCAUUUUAGAAUUUUAUUUGCAUUAGUAGCUCUUUUCCACUUUAUUAAUUCAUAUAUUUUAUGAUUUAUUUAGUUUAGCAUAAACAAUCUCUUUACAUUUCUCAAUUAAAAGAAUUAUGAUAUAGUGAAAAAUAAUUGCAAUAUUAUCCUAUUUUUUCACUAUGUUAAAAAUUAACUUAAGAUCCUACAUGCGGUGUUGCUUUAACAAUUGUUUUUAUUUAUUAAUGCAUAUAAUUCUCACUUUAUUUUAUUAUGUGUCGUACCCAACAUCACGACAACCUUUAAAAUUCAAAAUUAAAAACAAGUUUCUGACAUCUUAUUCUUCAAUAAGAAAUGUGUAGUUUAGUGAGUUAUUAUCUAGUAUUAUGGUCACUAGUAACCCCAACUGGUCAACAAAAAUUCAAUGAGUCGCCUUCUAGUAAAAUAUAUUGUAAAUUGAAUUUACCUUUUACAGUUAAAAUCUACAUAUCAAUUAUAUAGUGAAAUACUUAAAUAAAAACAUGGGAACCUAUAAAUAAAUUUAAGAGGGUCCUUAGAUUUUUCUGAUAUUAAAAAAAAACUCGUUUGGUCUAAUAUAAAAAAAAUAAAAAUAAAAACAAUGGGCCAAAGGCCCAGCCCAACUACUGUUUUUUUUUUUUUGGACUAGACACAGCAGGCCCGGGUAAUUAGGACCCGGCUGGGCCAAGCAGGAGACACGCGUUAACCAAAUCACGCGUGCAUGAACAGUGGAAGAGUAAUUAAAAUUCAAGGUGCACACUGCACAGUGAGUGAACUGAAAUUGUAAAGCUGGGGAAGACGAAAAGCACUUACCUGUGCUGCUGCUACUGAAGAUGAAGACGAAGUUGCGGGCGAUCGACUGCUGCUAAUUUCUCUUCCAUUUCCUUGGUUUCUUCUGUGAUCUUCCUUCUUUUUUUUGUUCUUUUUGUCUUCGUAUUCUAUUUGUUCCUUAUCUUUCUGUAUUUUUCUCUGUAUCUCCCUCUUCUGUCUCUGUUUUUUGGUCUUUCUUCUGUGUCUCUCGUGUCUAUGUUCUCUCUGUUCUGUCCCUGUAUUGUUCGUUCUUGUUCUCUCUGUGUGUUGAUUUCCUGGGUUUCCCUCUCUCUCUCUCUACUGUUUUUUUUCUUCCUCUUCUCUGCUUCUCUGGUUUGUUCCCCCCCAGUUCUCUCCCUUCUUGUGGCUUUUCUCUGGCUUAUAUAAAGCCAGAGAAUGCCAUGCGUUGGUAAAGCAAACGAAACGGACUCACAUGACAGUUACAGUGAUAAUGGAGACGCAUCGUGGGGCGCCGGCGGGGCGUCCCUUUUUUUCCCUGUCGGGUAAGAAGAAGAAGAUGAAUAAUCUUCUUUGAAACGGCGUCGUUUUGGGAUGAGAGUGAUCAUUUUCAGUUUGGUCACUGAGUAUUUGACGUUUGGUAAUUAAACCCCUUAAUCAGGAAAUUCCCUCUUCUUUUUGUUUUUAAUUUCGCCCCUAGGUAAUUUGCAAUUGGACCCCUGGAUUAUAGCCUUAUUCACAAAACAGUCAUUGGUUUCUGAAUUAUUCAAUUCAUUCUUUAAUUGACUCUUCAACUUUUAAUGUUUUCACAAUAUGUAAGAAUCGAGUUUUAGAUUUAUAGAUCUAUUUUUUUUCUUAAUUUCUAAAAACACAUUACCAACACAUACAUAUUCAUUUUUUUGUGUAGAAAAAAAUAUUCAGCCUGUAGCGAAGCAAGUUAAAUAUACACGUUAAUACUUUUUGAAAAACAAUUCCUGACAUAUAUAAUUUUUAUCUUAUUUUAUUAAAUGCAGGCAUAAAGUUUUUCUAUUUAUGAUGAGAAAUUGUUUUUGUAAAAAAAAAACAUGGUAUAAAGAUACACAUAUACCUAUUUUUGCUCAAAAACAUUAUCCGACAUUCAUUGAAUUAUUGCAUCUAGUUAAAUAACUAGUAUUUAUGAGUUGGCAAACUCUUAUAAAAAAAUAUCCAAUGUAAUUUUUGUUUAUAUAUAUACUAGUUAGUGUGUGUGUGUGUGUGAGUUUAUAUAUAUAUAUAUAUAUAUAUAUAUAUAUAGAGAUUUGGACACUUAUUAUAUGAGAUUGACGUAAAAUUAACAUCAUAAAUUAUUCCAUAAUAAGACUUGUUGCCAAUAUCUUUGGUUUUGGUUCCUUCUUCUAUAACCCCAAAUCAAAAAAAGAAGAGAUAAGAAAGUAUUUUGGAGAAAGUGGUUAAAAAUCUAUAAUGGAGUGCGAGCACAACGAUCAAAUUAGUUAUCUUUAUGCAUAGAGAUAUGGAAUUAUCUAGUAUAAAAGAUUUUAAACAAAAAAUAUUAAGGUCCAAGCUAGUUAUACAUUAGCUGCAUUUCAAUCACAGGACUAUUAGCUGCUGUACCUUUAUCGAUUAUAGAGUGGCAAUGUCGAUGGCCAUAAAAGAAGAGAUAGAAUUAUUCCAUCCUUUGCUUAAUUUUUCCUCAUCCUCAUCAAUUUUGCUCCCAUAUUCUUCGAAUGCUGAUUUUUCAGUCUCCCCUUUCACUCUCUGUACUUGUUUAUGUCACUAGAAAUCAAAUCUGCAGAUAUGUUCAUAUGAAUUCUUUCUCCAAUUUGUCAUCGUUCUUGAUUUCUGGAACAGAUCUCUUCAAAUAAUCCUAUAAAUAAAUAUUUAAUUUUACUAUUUUCCUUUUUUUGAAUUCAAAUUGCAAGUUUGUUCAUUCUUUAUUUAACAUAAUGGCCGUAAGCCUUCAACUCUCAUCAUGUUUCUAUACCAGUUUCUUGCUGUUGCAUGUCUCUAUCACUUUCUUUUAGCACCAUGUUUCAUGCAACAUCAAUGAACUCCGUUUGUCAUUAGGAGCAUUAGACCGAGAGAAAAUUGUGUGAGCUAAGCAUAUGACAAAUUAAUAGUGAGCCUUACGAAGGGAUUCAUGACUAAGAAGUAGAUUAUGAAGUCUGGAAAGAGAAACUAGCUUAGGGAAUUAUCAACGCUAGUCCCACUAACAGUGAGCUGCCGAAACUCAUCCUUACGAAGGGAUUCAUGACUAAGAAGUAGAUUAUGAAGUCUGGAAAGAGAAACUAGCUUAGGGCGAGUAGUUAAUGUUGAGACAAGAUCUUUAAAAAUUUGAAACGUAAUCCUUUCAAUAAAUAUAAAUUGAAAUCUGUUGGAUCGAACGACUUUCCAACAGUAGUGAGUUUGUCACCGUAUUUUUGAACUCAUUGUAAACACGUUUUCAUGGUUUCAUCAGGAUGUUGACGCAGUUCUAACAAGGUAGAGUGAAGAGCCAUUAUUUGCGUUUUCGAUGGAGAUGCCAAUGCUGCAGCAAGAGCGCGCACCAUAUGUCCCGAGAGGUUUUGCAAUCAAACACCGAAGACAGCACAUCUGUCGAUAAGGACAUGAUCAAUGUGCUCAAAAUAAGUUAAUCUUGUGGCACCAAGAGUCCCUAUCCUUUCAGAAAAGAUAAUCGGUGUUGGUGAUUUUCAAGCAGAUGUGAUGAUAUGCUGUUUAUAAACCCUAGAUAAUAGCAACUGUUAUGGCCGGCGGCAGCACCUCUGAAGUGCUUUGAGAAGAUGCCACUAACAUACUUUGAGCAGCUGCUGUUUUUUUCCCGAAAAGUCACAGUACACUUAUGUUAGAGGCGUCCUAUAAAGAAGAAUGCAAGAAAACAGAAACAAAAUUGAAAAGUUGCAUGCGGAUAUAUUCUCCACUGGAGCUGCUGUAAUGCUACUAGUUUACGCUAUAAUAAUUGGGCCUGUACAUAGUCAGCUAAGAUGGGCGUUUUUGCUCAAUCGUUCGUUUAAAGACUGGUUGUCAACUGGUCUGGAUCUUUUUAUCAUGUGUCUGUGUUUAAGGAAUAUUUUCUUACAUCCAGUCUCUUAGUUGAUUUGUCUAACGGGUAACAUUGAAGGAGGAUUCUAUACAUUUGUAGCCGUUGGCUUUGCUACUUGCAACAAAUUUCAAUUACUAAUGGAGGCAUUGAUGAUUGUUGUCCUGUACUUGUAUUUCCACAUUCAUGGGAAAUUCUCAGGAAUGAAGGAGUUGAUGAUGAACCACAAAACAUGGUCUCGUCAAGCGGAGAAGCGUAAAAGCAAGGCAGAAUAUGUGCUCCAAUUAUCAAACAAAGCAGCACAAGAUGCUGCUUAUUUUAUUACAUACCAAACCAUUAAUAUAAAAUUCAUCAACCUACUUGGAACCAACAAGAACAUCCCACAAGGCAUCUCUGCUCCAAAUCAAAGAUCAAAUGCAUCCAUGCGGUGAGUUCGCAUUGGUUUGAUCCAAGUGGAACAUUUCCAUACCUACACCCCCAUUAGCAUAACAAUCCUUUAUUAAACCACUAGCUAGACGUGCAAGAUUCAACCUACACACAAGAACCCACUAGAUAGACUUCCACUGGAACCAUGCAGCAUUCUCCCGUGAUGACCUCAUUACUCAGUCUUUUCUACUGGGGUUUCUGUUUCAACCUUCUCCUCUGUUUCAACAGGCUUCUGUUCUUCCUUUACUUCUUCUUCCUUUGGGGCUUCGACUGCAACCUCCGUUUCUUCUGCCGGUGCCUCACCAGGCUCUGUAGUCUCUUUAGCCUCCUCGACAACAGGCUCUACGGGUACUUCCGGCUCCUCUUUUGUCUCCUCAGCAACCGGCUCUGGUGUUUCCUUAGGUGUCUCCUCCUCAGUUUUCUCUAGUACUGUUGGCUCUUCUGCAGCGAUCUUGUUCUCUUCGAGCACCUCUUUAGUUUCAGCUUCAGCUGGGGCCUCGGGCUCUGGUGCCACGGGCUCCUCAGAUGCUGCAACUUUCUCUGCUUCUUUUGGCUCUUCAUGAGUUACUGCCUCUGGUGCUGCAGUGACCGCUUCUUCUGUG
rnacentral:lncRNA from 1 species